rnacentral:rRNA from 1 species
ACCUAAGACCAAACCAUUAUGAACACAGCUGAUCUCUGAUCUCAAGAAGCUAAACAGGCAAGGGCCUUUUAGUACUUGGAUAGGAGACAAAGCUUUGAUA